CAUUUGACUUCCGUUUUAAAGAACACUUAUCUACUGACAGUUUUAACUGAGUCGUUUAAUUGCAGUAAAUUGAAACUAUGUAUUGUAUCGAAAUUGUAAUCUACUUCCCUGAAAGGAAACUAGAACACGGACAUCUCAAACUGAGUGCAUUAUAAACUUUCUUAUAACAGUGGCCUGCUCAUUCUUUCAUCCUUUCCUAUCUUUGCUGCUCAAUCUGACUGACGUCUACUUUACCCAGAGUUUUGUUUUACAGAAGUGCUAAGUAAUUUUAUCGUCGGACUAGCCAUAUUUCGUGGAACACCCCUUCAGGCAUCGCGGAACACUGGGGUUCCGAGGAACACAGUUUUGGGAAACACUAGCCUAAUAUAUGAAGUGAUGCCUAUGACAAGACCAGAGCUCCAACGAAAGACAACAAUGCAAAACUAGUUUGCCCUCCCUUCACAUCGUUCCAACCGGAACUGGAAAACGUCUUCUUGGACAUGAGUAAAUAUAUAUCUGCACAAAUGGUAUAAGACUUUACACUUUUUUUUUAGAAGUUAUCUAAAUAGUUAACACUAAAUCUUACAGCUUUCCUUAAAUAGAAUAGUUAUUCAGUUAUAAUUAGUUAUAAUAAUUAGAUUCUUUUAACUUUACCGCAUUUGUACAAUAGAAGAAAGAGAGGUGGGGGGGGGGGGGGGACAACAAAAUGAACGAAUGAAAAAUGUAAAAAAACAACAUUGGUAGAAAAAUGCAUGACUUUAUAAUGUCAUAUCAUUGUUGUUGUUUUUGUUAUGAUAUUUUUUUAUGCAUAUGAAAUAAUUGAAUGCUAAUAAAGUUGAUGUCUGACCUAUGUGUUGACUUAUUUCUCUUAUGCAAAUUCAUUCCUUAAAUGGAAAGACAACUGAAUUGACUCGACGGUCAAUUCGUUGAUGUGCCACUGAAUGCUGGAGCUGUCUAAUGCAGGUCGCCUUAGACAACAUCAAGCGUUCAAAUUAAAAUAUUUUAGUUUAGCGAAAUUUUACGUCACGUUUCGUUACUUCCGGUGCGCUCGUGAUAAAAUCCGUUUACGUGAACGAAACUAGAAAUCUCCCCUUAAAUACACUUUGACCUUCGAAAGCCCCAACUACAUCAUACCCUGAACUAAUAAACACAUCUCACAAAUCACACAAAACAAAAACACAAUUAUACACAUUUAAUGAUUGUUUUGUUGAAAUAUAAUUUAGCACUUUGUUAUUUUUGUGUUUUUAUUUUACUAAGAUCAUGUAUUCAUUUUACCCUUUUGAAUUGUUUCCAAUGAACACCUACCUCCCAUUUAGAUACGGCAGGUGACACGACAAUCAGAACAACAGGAAAUGUAAGCUCUUCAUCGGAAAUAAACAUCAAAGAAGAAUUCAAGAACUUGUAUUUGUUCAUAGUAACCGUUGUCAUGGCAGCAGUGGCAGUUGCGCUCACAGUGUCAACAACAGUGGCCUGUUAUCGAUACUAUAGUACAGUGAAACGUAGAACAAAGAAUAACUACGAUGAAUUGGACAUUCGGUUGAAUGAACGAGCAUUUUAUCACACACCUAAACUCACAGAUCCAGUUCAAACACCAAGCAACGUAGGAGCAAGACCACGUGAUGUGACCAACCAAUCUCUAAGAGUUUCGUCAUCGCCUCGACAACCAAUGGAAACAGAAGCCAACCCGUACUCAGAAAUCCGCGAUAUGUACAAUAAUUAGCGCAGGCAGAAGAUGUCCCGUGAUCAAGCAGCUACCUCGUGUCAUGGUGGUGCUCUUAUCUGAACUUAUUAGAUCUAUUAAUUAGACGUGAUAAUCUAUGUUUGCAAUGUCCUAACCGUCCUACAAUAGCUGCGUGAAAACACAAAACUAAGUUAUUACACUGUAGACAACAUUAGGAAGACAACACAUGGAAGGCAAAUAUGAAAGACAAUAUAUAGACGACAAAUAAGGAAGACAAUAUAUGGAAGACAAUAUAUGGAAGACAGCUAUGAAGACAAUAUAUAGACGACAAAUAAGGAAGACAAUAUAUGGAAGACAAAUAUGAAAGACAAUAUAUAGACGACAAAUAAGGAAGACAACAUAUGGAAGACAAAUAUGAAAGACAAUAUAUGGAAGACAAAUAUGAAAGACAAUAUAUGGAAGACAAAUAUGAAAGACAAUAUAUAGACGACAAAUAAGGAAGACAAUAUAUGGGAUACAAUAUAUGGAAGACAAUAUAUAGACGACAAAUAAGAAGACAAUAAAUGGAGGACAAAUAUGGAAGACAACAUAUGGACGACAACAUAUAAAAUAUUUCCUGAUAGACAUAUAUUGAAUUUUUUUUUUUUCUCUUUUUUUUUUUUUCAAUAUUUUGAAACUUUUAUAAUUUUAUAAUAACAGAAUCUCCAUCAAUAAUUGCUACCCGCCCUCCGGGCUACAACACUUUAAAGAAACCAUAUUUUUUGACUUUUCAAUUGCAUGUAUAUGUCAAUAAAUUACAUUCAAUUAUA